rnacentral:rRNA from 1 species
GAUGAACGCUAGCUACAGGCUUAACACAUGCAAGUCGAGGGGUAACGUGACGGUAGCUUGCUACUGUUGACGACGACCGGCGCACGGGUGAGUAACGCGUAUCCAACCUGCCCCGUACACUGCAAUAGCCCGCUGAAAGGCGGAUUAAUGGCAGAUGCAGUUCAGUGAUGACAUCAGAUCUGAACGAAAGCCUUCGGGCGGUAUGGUGAUGGGGAUGCGUCUGAUUAGGCAGUUGGCGGGGUAACGGCCCACCAAACCGACCAUCAGUAGGCGUUCUGAGAGGAAGGUCCCCCCCCCUUGCAACUGAGACCCCCUCCCACCUCCUACCGGACGCAGCAGUGAGGAAUCUUGGUUAAUGGGCGAUCCCCUCCACCCCCCCAGUCCCCUGCAGGAUGACCCCCCCUAUCGGUUGUCAACUUUUUUUGUACGGGAAUAAAGUGAGCUAAGCGUAGCUUAUUGCAUCUACCGCCCAAAUAAGGCCGGCCCAAUCCGCGCCCCCCCCCCCCCGUAAUACCGAAAGCCCCCCCCCCC